rfam:Cylindrobasidium torrendii FP15055 ss-10 unplaced genomic scaffold CYLTOscaffold_338, whole genome shotgun sequence.
GACUCAAUAGCUCAGUGGUAGAGCAUACGAUUGCAGAUCGUGUUGUCCCGUGUUCGAACCACGGUUGGGUCU